AAACGAAAUUUCCAACUCAAGGAAUUCAAAGAAACGCGGUGGUAUUAAGCAUGGAAAUAAGCGCAUGUGCCAAGAAAAGUAGCUAGCGUUCCUCUGCUCUUCCAUAUCAUUUCCUUCAGCUCUCAAUCUUCCUGAAGGGCGCUAGACAAGGCGACUGAGAAAUGACUACCUGUAAGGUGUUUGUGUUCAUGGUGACCCUUUUAGUUGUGGCCAUGCUGCUGUUCUCAUCUGUGGUGACUGCCGCAAAUCCAGGGGAAGCCAUAUCAUCUGUAAUCUUUUCAGGAAGGAGGAUUCUUAGUGCAGGUGAUAACGGAUCGGGCGGUGGGUCAGUGAAGUCUCCAAUAGUACCAAUUCGUCCGUAAAGGCUCCAAAAGUGCCAGUUUGAUGCUGAUAAUGUGUUUCUUGAAAAGUAAAUGAAUUUAUUAACUGUUAUAUGUACAUAUCAUUAUUAGCAAUGUUUAAAAUCCUCAAAUAGAUCUACCACUUAUAACAGUCCAAGGCGAUAAAAUCUAUAUAUAUAGUUAACCAACCCUGGUUAUAUGUUUAACGUUUCCCUUUUAUUUUUAAAAUUUAGCAAUUGAGUAGAAAUAAAUAUAACAGUUAUUGAUGGAGGUUUCUGAAGGUGGGGGUUCAACUCUCACUUCUUCCUAUU